rnacentral:rRNA from 1 species
UUACACAUCAAGUCGAACGGUAACAGGUCUUCGGACGCUGACGAGUGGCGAACGGGUGAGUAAUACAUCGGAACGUGCCCAGUCGUGGGGGAUAACUACUCGAAAGAGUAGCUAAUACCGCAUACGAUCUGAGGAUGAAAGCGGGGGACCUUCGGGCCUCGCGCGAUUGGAGCGGCCGAUGGCAGAUUAGGUAGUUGGUGGGAUAAAAGCUUACCAAGCCGACGAUCUGUAGCUGGUCUGAGAGGACGACCAGCCACACUGGGACUGAGACACGGCCCAGACUCCUACGGGAGGCAGCAGUGGGGAAUUUUGGACAAUGGGCGAAAGCCUGAUCCAGCAAUGCCGCGUGCAGGAUGAAGGCCUUCGGGUUGUAAACUGCUUUUGUACGGAACGAAAAAGCUUCUCCUAAUACGAGAGGCCCAUGACGGUACCGUAAGAAUAAGCACCGGCUAACUACGUGCCAGCAGCCGCGGUAAUACGUAGGGUGCGAGCGUUAAUCGGAAUUACUGGGCGUAAAGCGUGCGCAGGCGGUUAUGUAAGACAGAUGUGAAAUCCCCGGGCUCAACCUGGGAACUGCAUUUGUGACUGCAUGGCUAGAGUACGGUAGAGGGGGAUGGAAUUCCGCGUGUAGCAGUGAAAUGCGUAGAUAUGCGGAGGAACACCGAUGGCGAAGGCAAUCCCCUGGACCUGUACUGACGCUCAUCACGAAAGC